rnacentral:tRNA from 1 species
GACAUUGUGGCAUAGCAGGUAAAGCUGCUGCUUAGAAUGCUGGUAGCUUGCAGGUUCCCUGCCAAUGUCC